CUCACAAUGGUUCCGCCUAACCUACAUUUUGUGUUGGGGCAUUUUUACACCACUCGAUAAAUAUCUUGGAAGGUAAUAAUUCAGGCGAGCUUUGCAGCUGCUGCAGCUCUCGGAGGCGCUCUUCAAGUCGGAGCUGAUGGAUUCAAACGUGAACAUCGCAAGGUCGUGUACGGAGGUCUACGUCGCAUGCCACCUACAUGCUUGAAAUCCUUGAAGGGGACGAACUGGACGAUGUCGCGCAGCACAGGUUCGCCCUUGGGGGAACGCAGGAUGCCGUCAUCCCCGUCCAGAAUCUGCAUGUCGGUGAAGUCCGCGUUGCCCACGCCCACAAUGAUGACGGACAUGGGCAGGUGGGAGGCGUGCACGAUGGCCUCCCGCGUGUCCGCCAUGUCGGUGAUGACGCCGUCCGUCAGGAUGAGCAGGAUGAAAUAUUCCUGAGGCGGCACAGGAGGAAGACUUUGGAUGAGGAUGUGACAUUUGAACCAUGACUGACUGUCAAAAACCAGGCCCUUAAUGUCACUUCAGAGCAUUUCAACCAUGUGAUCACUCCCAGCCAAUCACAGAGCAAAGCUGGUGAUGCAAUCUAGUGA